rnacentral:rRNA from 1 species
GAAUAUUGGACAAUGGGGGGAACCCUGAUCCAGCCAUGCCGCGUGUGUGAAGAAGGCCUUUUGGUUGUAAAGCACUUUAAGCGAGGAGGAGGCUACUCUAGUUAAUACCUAGGGACAGUGGACGUUACUCGCAGAAUAAGCACCGGCUAACCCUGUGCCAGCGGCCGCGGGACUACAGAAGGUGCAACCGUUAAUCGGAUUUACUGGGCGUAAAGCGCGCGUAGGUGGCCAAUUAAGUCAAGUGUGAAAUCCCCGAGCUUAACUUGGGAAUUGCAUUCGAUACUGGUUGGCUAGAGUAUGGGAGAGGAUGGUAGAAUUCCAGGUGUAGCGGUGAAAUGCGUAGAGAUCUGGAGGAAUACCGAUGGCGAAGGCAGCCAUCUGGCCUAAUACUGACACUGAGGUGCGAAAGCAUGGGGAGCAAACA